UCUUAUCCUAUUAAAGCUCUCUUCCAAUCCCUAACCCUAACCCUAACCAAGCCGCUUCGCAUUUUCUUUCCUCGCUGCUGUCGCCUGAGUGAGUGAGUGGCCUCUUGCCUCUUCUUCUUGUUGAGAGACCGGGAAAAGCCCUUCAACUCCAUCGGUUUUCGGCUUCUUAUCGGUAAGCCCCACCAAACAGACUAAGCAUAUUGUACCCCGGAAGAACUAACUGCUCCCGUUUCUUCGCUGCACCUGUUCUCUGAUUUCUCACAAGACCUCAUAACUCGACGGUUCAACCUCAAGGCCUCAUAACUGGACUUCUUCAAUGAUUUAUCCUUCCUUCUCCUGUUCUCUCUCAUAAACCCUAAUUGCCUUCGCCUCCUAUAACCAUGUUAUUAUUCGAGACCGAUAUCUGACCGUAGUUUUGAAGAAAGGCUGUUUAGGCGGGUAGCUUCUGCUUAAGCUUAGAACCCAAAAUGGGCUUUGACAAUGAGUGUAUAUUAAAUAUACAGUCUCUACCUGGUGAAUAUUUCUGUCCUGUUUGCCGCACUCUAAUCUUUCCCAAUGAAGCACUUCAGUCACAAUGCACUCAUCUCUAUUGCAAGCCCUGCUUGGCCUAUAUUGUCGCCACUACUCAUGCUUGCCCUUAUGAUGGCUACCUGGUCACUGAAGCGGACUCUAAGCCUCUCUUAGAAUCAAACAAGACACUUGCUGAGACGAUAGGCAAAGUACAAGUUUAUUGUCUUUAUCACAGGAGUGGAUGCCAGUGGCAGGGCACAUUGUCUGAUUGCAUUAAUCACUGUGCUGGAUGUAGUUUCGGAAACUCUCCUGUUGUCUGCAAUAGAUGCGGAACUCAAAUUGUACAUCGUCAAGUUCAAGAGCAUGCACAAACAUGCCCUGGUUUGCAGCCUCAAGGACAACAAGUAGAGAGUGGUCAGGGUCAUGUAUUGUCUGCAUCAAACCAAGAUGUUACACAGGAUUCCUCUGCCACUGCUGUGGCUUCCACGACGACAACUUCUUCCACAGCUGUUGUGACAACAGCCAUAUCCACUUCAACUCCUGGAACAACAUUAUCAGUUUCGGCUCCUGCUAAUGCUCCUGCCGUUGCUUCAGCUGCCAAUGUUGUUCAGACUCAGAACCAACCAUUAACAGUCGCUUAUCCGCAAGGUGGCAUGCAAGCUCCUAUGGCGGAGCAGUGGUACCGUCAACAACAACUUCAAUAUCAACAAUAUUAUCAGCAGUAUCCUGGAUAUGAUCCUUAUCAGCAGCAAUACCAACAGUAUGGCCAAUAUCAACAGCAAACUUAUCAGCAGUAUCCGCAAACUCAUAUGCAGGUUGCUCCACAACAGGUAAUUCAAGGUCAGCAGCAGGCUCAGCCAUAUGUGCUGCCCCAACCGCAUACUCAGCCUCUACCACAACCUCAAGCACAAUCCCAGGCCCAAGGUACCCUUCUCCAACCACAGCAACAACCUGUUCCUCAGCCGCAGCUCCAGCCCCAGCCUCAGCUCCCGACCCCUCCCCUGCCUCAGUCCCAACCCCAGCCCCAGCCCCAGCCCCAGCCUCAGCCCCAGCCCCAAUCUCAUACUCAUCCUCAACCACAGAUUCAAACCCAACUUCUUUCACAUUCCCAGUUUCCUCAAGCUCAGCAUGUUCCUGUUCAGCAACCUCAUCAGCAGAUACAGCCACAAAUCACACAGACCACUCAGCUACCAGCACAUGCCGGGCAACCCCAGUAUUCACAACUGCAUUCUUAUGCCCAGACUCAGCUGCCAGUUCUUCAUGCUCAGCAGCAUCAACAGACUGUUCUUGCACAGCAGCAACCUCAACCACCUCUGCAACCGCUGCAACAAAACAUGCAAAGUCAGCCACGUCCGGUACCAUUGCCUCAGGCACAGUCAUACAAUCAGACCCAGACUCAAUUUCAACAACCCCACAUGCAGCAACCUCGUCCUCUUCCCCACGCUCAACCCCAGCCUCAGGCACAUCUUCAGCCCCAGCCCUUGUCCCAGCCCCAGCUUCAGCCUCAGUCCCAACCCCAGCCUCAGCCUCAGCCUCAACCUCAGCCCCAGCCUCCACCGCAGCCUUAUCCUCAGGCUCAGGCUCAGCUACAUCAAUCUCAGAAUCCAUCUCUUCAUGGGGUUACAGGGCAUCAAUCUUAUCCUCAGUCCCAGCCGCUCCAGCAAAUACCUCAUGGAGUGCCACAUCAACGGCCUAUGAAUCCGCAGCAGCCUGGUGCACCUCCUCAACAAGUUUCUCAAAGUCAGUUCCCCAUCCAUCAAGCGCAACAAGUGAGGCCCUCACAGACUCAUAUUCCUCUGCAAACACAGCAAUACCCUGCUAUGCAGCCUCAUGGACAAGGUCCAUUUCCGAAUGCUGCAUUGCAGCCACUAGCUCAGCACUUGGCCCAUCAGCCAGCUCAACAGAUGCACCAGUCAGUAGGUGUGCAAAUGCAUCCACAGCAGCAAGCUUUACCUCAGCAGCAAGCCUUACCUCAGCAGCAAGCACCAGGCCAAUUUCCAUCUGCGCAGAUGUCCCAGCAAGGUGGAUUUCCAUCGCAACCACCUUCACACUCUCAGCAUUCUUUAAGAUCGCAGGUCCAGCCAUACAUGCAGCCUCCAUCCCAAGGCAGGACUAUGGUACCAACCCAACCACUGCUGCAGCAAGUUCAACAUUCUCCUGCUAAGCUAAUUCAAACUGGCAUGAAUCAACACUCACCUAGUGAUAAUCAUUUGGCCAGACAACAUGGAUCCAUCCACCAAUCUCAAUUACAUUCUGGGAGCCAGGGCUCUCUUGUUCCUGCUGCCUCUCGUUCUGGGAUAGAUGCUAACCAAAUAUCUGUGGCUGGAUCAGACUUCAAGUCAGCUGUGCUUGAUAAACCUGCUGAUUCAAAAUUAGAUAAGGCCGGCCAAGUGAAACAAUCGGAGGCAGAAUCAACUGGAAAUGCUGUUGGAUCUGAAACAUCUAGAUCCUCUGAACUUGUUAUUUCUAAGACUGAUAGUGAUUCCAAAUCCGUGGCUGAAGGGGAGACACCUAUUGAUGUCAAUGAGAAUUCAGAAACAAAGGAGAUCAAGGAUGGUUUGGUGCUGAAGCAUUUAAGUGGGGUAUCGGCAGAUUUCCAGGAUGGAACAGAAGAUUCUAAUGCUUUUAAAGCUAUUGAAGGAGUGAAGGAAGAUCAUAGGAUUGAGGGAAAGCAACACACUAAACCUAAACCAAUGGUUGAUGGGUUCACAGCUGAUUCCACAUUAGAUGGCCCUAAUGCAGCUCAGCCUCUACCAGGAAACAGCAAACAAAUGGAGAAAUCAGAUCAAGGUUCUGGUACCAGAAAUCAAACCUCUGGAAAUGCAGCUAGCAGCAUUCAGAUUGCCCAGCCUAUGCCCCAGGGGCAACAUCAUGAUUUGGAAGCUCAUGAAAAAACAUUCCCACCAUCGGGGUAUUAUGAUAAAGGUCUAUCCCAAUUUCCUCCACCGCAAGCAGGGGCAGUUGGCCUCCGUGGAAUAUCUCCAGCAGGCCCAGUUCUUGGUCAUGAUAGAUAUCCUCUGAAUAUUCCGCAUGGGCAAACUCCUAACAUGGAUGUAGCAAUGGUGUCCCAAAGACCUUCUGGACCCGAUGGAAUGUUCCCACAAAACAUGCCUCAAACUGUACCUAAUCAAGAGAGGAGGUUCCAAGAGCCAUUUCCCCAUCCUAUUCCUGUACAUGGCCCACCAAUGGCACCUGGGCAGCUAAGACCACCUGGAUAUUCUGAAAAUUUUCCAUAUCCGGUACAGACUCCAGCUAUGGCAGACCCUUUUCAACAACCAGCAGCAAAGCAACCUUAUGGCUCUAAUAUUCCACCAACAAAUGCAGAGGAAAUUAAUCCAUUCCCUGUGAGAAGCCAAAGCCAUGGUCCCCAACCUAAUGCUAUUGGUCCAGUGGCUGCUCCAAUUGAUCCAUUGGCACGUUCAGCCAUGGGUGGGCCUCCUCCCAGAGCAUUUGAAGCAGCAAGCGGGAUGCUGUCUAGGGGUUCUCAAUUUGGUUAUGAUGAUCGAACUGGUAGAUCUGGUCCAGUUAACUUGAUGGAAGGGCCAGGGUAUUAUGAUGGCAGGCAGUCUGAGUCUCAUAGGCCCUUGCCUGGUGAACAUGUUCCUUUUGGACAGCAGACUGUUAUGCAGCCGAACAUGAUGAAAAUGAAUGGUUUGUCAGGGAAAGGACCUGCUGGUGUCAUGCAUGAUUCAGCAUUUUCACAUGGUGUAUCAGAUGAUAGAUUUCGACCACCACCUGGAGAAAGGUUUGCUCCAUUGCCUGAAGAGUGUUUGAGAGCAGCACCGGGUGAAAAAUUUAGGCCUAUAAUGGACUCAGGCCGGAACAUUGCAAAUCACAGGGAAUUUGAGGAAGACUUAAAACAAUUCCCAAGGCCUAGUCAUUUGGAUGGUGAUGGGUCUCAUAAAUUUAAUGUAUAUGGGCCUGCUAGCAGGCCAGUAGACAGGGGACAUCAUUUUGGGCCUGAUGGAGGACCUAGGACAUUUGAUAGAGCUUCAGUCGGCUCAUUUGCCCCACACCCAUCUGGUGCCCGAUUUCCUCCUAGUAGUGGAGGUUUAGAAUUUGGACCAUUGGAUAUUGCAGAUAGACAAAGGGGUCCUGUUUUUCAUGAUGAUUUAGGUGGGAAGCACGAAGCCCUUCCUGAGCGUCUCAGGCCUUUUCCUGAAUUUGGUCGUCCUCAUAUUGAUAGUCUUCCAUCUAUAAGAAGUCCUGGUCGUCCGGAUGGCUCAGGGCAUUUUCUUAUGGAUUCUAGUAUUUUUAGGAAGGAAAUAGAUGCUUUUGAUGUCUCCCACAAUCGUUUGCGUGCUUCUGAACAUGUUGGCCAUGGUUUGGCUAAUAAUAUUAGACUAGGCGAACCAUAUGGUGCUCGGAAUUUACCUAGCCAUCUAAGGUUCAAUGAUUCAACCAGUCAUGGUCCGCUUCGUGGUGGUGAGUCAAUUGGAUUUGGUGGAUAUGGUCGAAUUCCAAUUGGUGAUUCAGGGCUUUCUAAUAGUUAUCCUGUUCAUGAUCAGGUUUCUUUACAGGGUGAUCUGGAUUCUUUUGAGCAUUUAAGGAAGAGGAAGCACGGAAGCAUGGGAUGGUGCCGCUUAUGCAAGAUUGACUGUGAAACAGUUGAGGGUUUGGAGGUGCACUCACAGACAAAGGAUCAUCAGAAUAUGGCAAUGGAGAUAGUUCUUAACAUCAAGAAAGAUAAUGCAAAGAAGCAUAAAUUAACCUCUGAAGAAACAGACGACACAAAUAAAUCAAGGAAGGCAAGCUUUGAGAACCGUGGGGGCAGGCGUUGAAAUCAUUGUGCUUGUUACUGCUUAAACUUUGUGAAGUUGUAGGCCUUGAAGUUUCUGCGAUAAGUUAAGUUUGGUUUUGGUAAUAUCUACUAUUGCAAAGAGAUAUUUAAUCUGCUUUGCUUUUACCUUUCUUGUCACUUUGCUGCACAUGCAUUUCUCAAGAUUCUACCUAUUUUGCUUCCUUUGAGUGCAGCUUUAAAGAUGUUAUGAUAUUUUAAUGCGUUGGAGACUGUAGUACUCUUGUCCCAAAAUUUUCAUACUUCCAUAUAACUGGAGAAAGUGAAGUCCUGCUAACUCCAAAUUUUCUCAUACUGUGGUCCUUCUGGAGAAUGAUGGUCGUGUCUGCUCAAAUUGAACUGCUGAAGAAUUAUUUACAGUCGUAAGGAAUCAAAUCAGUCUAUAGGUGGCAAGCUAUGGGUAACUCCCUGGAUGAAGCUUUCUUAUGUUAACUAGCAAAUACCAUUUGAUUUUGAUGUGACUAUGUUACAUUUAUCAUAGAGGUGUAUAACUUCUUCAAAGAGCAAUAUUUUAAUUUAAUGCGGUGGUGGGGGUUGGGUAAGAGAUUCCAUGAGCAAAUUACUUUUGAGUUUAAAUAAUAGAUUUUAUCAUUCAUUUGUCUUUUGGCUCAAUAAAGUAGAAGCGAUGUGUGUCCUAUGCACAGUUGUUUGACA